GAUGAAGAACGUAGUGAAAUGCGAUAAGUAAUGUGAAUUGCAGAAUUCAGUGAAUCAUCGAAUCUUUGAACGCACCUUGCGCCCUUUAGCCAUUCCGAAGGGCAUGCCUGUUUGAGUAUCAUGAACACCUCAACUCUUUAUGGUUUUCCAUGAUGAGCUUGGACUCUGGGGGUUUUGCUGGCUCACAGUCGGCUCCUCUAAAAUGAAUCAGCUUACCAGUGUUUGGUGGGUAUCAUGGGUGUGAUAACUAUCUACGCUUGUGGUUUUUCCACCAGGUAACCUUCAGCAGUGGAGGUUCGCUGGAGCUCAUAGAUGUCUCUCCUCAGUGAGGACAGCCCUUUGAAUGUUUGAUCUCAAAUCAGGUAGGACUACCCGCUGAACUUAAGCAUAUCAAUAAGCGGAGGA
rnacentral:misc_RNA from 1 species